rnacentral:lncRNA from 1 species
GGCAAAAGUGGGUAAGCGAGUUACUGAAGAAAAGAAAAUUCGUCCUGAGAUUGAAGGAGAGAUCAAACACUCCCUUAGACGCGACAUUCACCUCCUCAACCCAGUUCGAUCGAUACUAACCCCUGCUCCCCAUAUCACACCGUUGUUACAACGCUCCUAUCCUAACCACCACCGGAGAUAUGGUCAUAUGGAUUGAUUUGCAACAAGUAGUGUUCAUCUCUUCGUCAGAUGCGGGAUUCCAGAGUCCAUAUUAA